GUUCAGAGUACGUGAAACCGUUCAGGGGUAAACCUGAGAAACCCAAAAGAUCGAAUGGGGAGAUUCAUCGUCAGCGCGCUUUGUAUAUGUAUGAGUUAUGAUGCGGGUUACUCUUGUAGUAUUGCUUGCACGUACUUUUACAUUUGUUUGCAAGGUGUUGUCGGCGUGCACUUCUCCCCUAGUAGGACGUCGCGACCCGUUGGGUGUCGGUCUACGACUUAGGUGGUAGCCUUUAAUGUUUAACAACAUUGAAGACCCUUGAUGUUUUCUGACCGGCUACCCGACGGUACUCGUACGGUAUUUAGCCGCAUUUUAUAUGCGUCCAUAUCCGUCGCAAGCGAGGCUAGUUUCUGGUAGUACGGACCUAGUGCCGUCGCUGGAGCUGGCCAGCUGUUGGUUGUUACGGUGAUCUAGGACUGGCUAAAAAUAUUACCGGUCGGCGAUGCUACUGCUUUGGGUACUUUCAGGACCCGUCUUGAAACACGGACCAAGGAGUCUAACAUGUGCGCGAGUCAUUGGGAUUUUUUUCAAAUUAAACCUAAAGGCGUAAUGAAAGUAAAGGUCGUCCUUGCGUCGACCGAGGGAGGAUAAGUUGAAAAAACAGCUUCGCACUCCCGGGGCGUCUCAUUCUCAUUGCGAGAAGAGGCGCACCUAG
rnacentral:rRNA from 1 species